rnacentral:rRNA from 1 species
UUGAUGGCCGUGGUGGCGCACGUCAAGCCCAUUGCGCGCCUGACGGGUCUGAUGGCGACGCUGGCGAUCAUAGCCAAUUUGGGCAUCGCCAUUGUGCUUUGCGGGGUGGUUUGGGCGGCCCCGGAUGAGGUGAUUUCCGUCUGGGCGGGCAACUGGAGCGGGCACGGCGUGCCCAUCGGCAUCGAACUGG